rnacentral:tRNA from 1 species
GAAGUUAUAGCUUAGUGGUAGAGUGCAUGCUUAGCAUGCACAAGGUCCUGGGUUCAAUCCCCAGUACCUCCA